GACGAACGCUGGCGGCGUGCUUAACACAUGCAAGUCGAACGAAGUGGCGAACGGGUGAGUAACGCGUACUCAACCUGCCCUUCAGAGGGGGACAACAGUUGGAAACGACUGCUAAUAACGCAUAAUGAAGUGGGGGGUUGGGUCUGAAUGGUGAGUUGGAGGGGUAACGGCCUACCAAGGCGAUGAUCAGUAGCCGGUCUGUGAGGAUGAACGGCCACAUUGGGACUGAGACACGGCCCAGACUCCUACGGGAGGCAGCAGGGGGGAAUCUUCCGCAAUUGACGAAAGUCUGACGGAGCAACUCCGCGUGAGUGAUGACGGCCUUCGGGUUGUAAAGCUCUGUUAAUCGGGACGCGGUACCGGAAUAGAAAGCCACGGCUAACUACGUGCCAGCAGCCGCGGUAAUUC
rnacentral:rRNA from 1 species